CCACAGGUCCCAUGGCUCCCACGGCUUCCAUGGCUUCCAGCACACAGUUCAUGCUCUCAGCCUGCCACCCAGCCUCCCUUCCCUGUCUCGCCCUCCACUU